rnacentral:tRNA from 1 species
CGGGGUGUAGCGCAGUUGGCUAGCGCGCGUCGUUCGGGACGACGAGGCCGCAGGUUCAAGUCCUGUCACCCCGACCA